CGGGCGCGGGAGCUAGGGGCCGAAGCAGGGUCUGGAAAUGGGGGCGGGGUGGGGAAGGUGCACCCCCAAAGAAAUGGGUG
ensembl:sRNA